UUCAAACGAGCAUCGAACCAAGCAGUUGGAGAGUUGCUCAUGAAUUCUCGACACGCAUAAAAUAAAUCAAUUUAAUUCGUAACGUGCUUUGUGAAUCGUAAAACGAACUGGUUUCUUGCAACUACUGUACUUUUCUGAUGUAGGGAUUUACUUAAAUAUACGUAUUUUCCCUAUCUGUUGUAUAAAACACUCGAUAAAUCUAGUAAUGAUUUCAUUUUCCACCAGUACUUUGAAGAGUGGAGUGAAAAAUGAAGGUUCUAUUCGUUUUUGUUCUCUUUACGUUGUGCACUCAAAUUGUGUGGGGUGAUACUAUCCCUGUGCCUGGGAUGACUACUACGACUACUACAAAGCCUUGGACUAAACAAGUUAGAGAAGGACUGAACAAAGUCUUACAAGCUGCUACAAUAAUAAGUAAUGUACGACGAAAUCACAAUCGUCACGGACAUCACAGAACAUUACCAACAACAAAACCAAGAAUUUAAGUAAUUAAUAAGUAAUUGUAUAUGAAUUCACUGCGGGUAGUUGCCUCAACUGGUGACAGAAGGGCUGGCUCAUUUUUGCGAAAGGAAAUGUCUUCUUAGCUGUCCAGCGCGGAAAUGCAGCCAGUAUUCUUGCCACCAUUCCACGUGGGCAUGAUUUGUGUAGUUAUUAAAAUAAGUUAGCUUAAGUUCCUUAUUGUAUAUCUUAAUUUAAAAAAAAAAUAUAAAAUGAAUUCUCGAUCCUCCACAAACAAGAGAGACUAAGGUCGAUUACCGCCCGUUAGAAUAGAAUUGAAAUGAAAUCGUCGAUACCAACGACCUAGCACUAGUUAUUUUACAGCAAUUUUACCUAUAAGUUACAAGAUUAUGCAUUGAAUAAAUUAAUCUUUGACAAUAUUAAAUCAUAGUCAAAUAAUAAAUACAUAUAUACUUCUGUUGUAUAAAAUAUAAUUUAUCAUUUUACAUAUUUUUAAUUGUUAUAAAUAUAAAUAAUUUUGUUAAUACAA